rnacentral:rRNA from 1 species
AGAGUUUGAUCAUGGCUCAGAUUGAACGCUGGCGGCAUGCCUUACACAUGCAAGUCGAACGGUAACGCGGGGCAACCUGGCGACGAGUGGCGAACGGGUGAGUAAUAUAUCGGAACGUGCCCAGUAGUGGGGGAUAGCCCGGCGAAAGCCGGAUUAAUACCGCAUACGACCUACGGGUGAAAGGGGGGGAUCGCAAGACCUCUCGCUAUUGGAGCGGCCGAUAUCAGAUUAGGUAGUUGGUGGGGUAAAAGCCUACCAAGCCGACGAUCUGUAGCUGGUCUGAGAGGACGACCAGCCACACUGGGACUGAGACACGGCCCAGACUCCUACGGGAGGCAGCAGUGGGGAAUUUUGGACAAUGGGCGCAAGCCUGAUCCAGCCAUGCCGCGUGCGGGAAGAAGGCCUUCGGGUUGUAAACCGCUUUUGUCAGGGAAGAAAUCCUUCGGGCUAAUACCCCGAGGGGAUGACGGUACCUGAAGAAUAAGCACCGGCUAACUACGUGCCAGCAGCCGCGGUAAUACGUAGGGUGCAAGCGUUAAUCGGAAUUACCGGGCGUAAAGCGUGCGCAGGCGGUUGUGUAAGACAGAUGUGAAAUCCCCGGGCUCAACCUGGGAACUGCAUUUGUGACUGCACAGCUGGAGUGCGGCAGAGGGGGAUGGAAUUCCGCGUAGCAGUGAAAUGCGUAGAUAUGCGGAGGAACACCGAUGGCGAAGGCAAUCCCCUGGGCCUGCACUGACGCUCAUGCACGAAAGCGUGGGGAGCAAUCAGGAUUAGAUACCCUAGUAGUCC